rnacentral:rRNA from 1 species
UUGAACGCUGGCGGCAUGCCUUACACAUGCAAGUCGAACGGCAGCACGGGUGCUUGCACCUGGUGGCGAGUGGCGAACGGGUGAGUAAUACAUCGGAACAUGUCCUGUAGUGGGGGAUAGCCCGGCGAAAGCCGGAUUAAUACCGCAUACGAUCUACGGAUGAAAGCGGGGGACCUUCGGGCCUCGCGCUAUAGGGUUGGCCGAUGGCUGAUUAGCUAGUUGGUGGGGUAAAGGCCUACCAAGGCGACGAUCAGUAGCUGGUCUGAGAGGACGACCAGCCACACUGGGACUGAGACACGGCCCAGACUCCUACGGGAGGCAGCAGUGGGGAAUUUUGGACAAUGGGCGAAAGCCUGAUCCAGCAAUGCCGCGUGUGUGAAGAAGGCCUUCGGGUUGUAAAGCACUUUUGUCCGGAAAGAAAUCCUUGGCUCUAAUACAGUCGGGGGAUGACGGUACCGGAAGAAUAAGCACCGGCUAACUACGUGCCAGCAGCCGCGGUAAUACGUAGGGUGCGAGCGUUAAUCGGAAUUACUGGGCGUAAAGCGUGCGCAGGCGGUUUGCUAAGACCGAUGUGAAAUCCCCGGGGCUCAACCUGGGAACUGCAUUGGUGACUGGCAGGCUAGAGUAUGGCAGAGGGGGGUAGAAUUCCACGUGUAGCAGUGAAAUGCGUAGAGAUGUGGAGGAAUACCGAUGGCGAAGGCAGCCCCCUGGGCCAAUACUGACGCUCAUGCACGAAAGCGUGGGGAGCAAACAGGAUUAGAUACCCCUGGUAGUCCACGCCCUAAACGAUGUCAACUAGUUGUUGGGGAUUCAUUUCCUUAGUAACGUAGCUAACGCGUGAAGUUGACCGCCUGGGGAGUACGGUCGCAAGAUUAAAACUCAAAGGAAUUGACGGGGACCCGCACAAGCGGUGGAUGAUGUGGAUUAAUUCGAUGCAACGCGAAAAACCUUACCUACCCUUGACAUGGUCGGAAUCCCGCUGAGAGGUGGGAGUGCUCGAAAGAGAACCGGCGCACAGGUGCUGCAUGGCUGUCGUCAGCUCGUGUCGUGAGAUGUUGGGUUAAGUCCCGCAACGAGCGCAACCCUUGUCCUUAGUUGCUACGCAAGAGCACUCUAAGGAGACUGCCGGUGACAAACCGGAGGAAGGUGGGGAUGACGUCAAGUCCUCAUGGCCCUUAUGGGUAGGGCUUCACACGUCAUACAAUGGUCGGAACAGAGGGUUGCCAACCCGCGAGGGGGAGCUAAUCCCAGAAAACCGAUCGUAGUCCGGAUUGCACUCUGCAACUCGAGUGCAUGAAGCUGGAAUCGCUAGUAAUCGCGGAUCAGCAUGCCGCGGUGAAUACGUUCCCGGGUCUUGUACACACCGCC